rnacentral:rRNA from 1 species
UGCCAGACUCCUACGGGAGGCAGCAGUGGGGAAUAUUGGACAAUGGGGGGAACCCUGAUCCAGCGACGCCGCGUGAGUGAAGAAGUCUUUCGGUAUGUAAAGCUCUAUCAGCAGGGAAGAAAGAAAUGACGGUACCUGACUAAGAAGCCCCGGCUAACUACGUGCCAGCAGCCGCGGUAAUACGUAGGGGGCAAGCGUUAUCCGGAUUUACUGGGUGUAAAGGGAGCGUAGACGGCGAUGCAAGUCUGAAGUGAAAGGCGGGGGCCCAACCCCCGGACUGCUUUGGAAACUGUAUGGCUGGAGUGCAGGAGAGGUAAGUGGAAUUCCUAGUGUAGCGGUGAAAUGCGUAGAUAUUAGGAGGAACACCAGUGGCGAAGGCGGUCUGCUGGACAGCAACUGACGCUGAGGCGCGAAAGCGUGGGGAGCAAACAGGAUUAGAUACCCUAGUACG